rnacentral:rRNA from 1 species
UCCUGGCUUAGGACGAACGCUGGCGGCGUGCCUAAUACAUGCAAGUCGAACGGUCUUUCUAUGGAAGCUUGCUUCCACUGAGAAGAUAGUGGCGAACGGGUGAGUAACACGUGGGUAACCUGCCCAUAAGAGGGGGAUAACAUUCGGAAACGGGUGCUAAUACCGCAUAGUUUUCUUGAUCGCAUGAUCGGGAAAGGAAAGACGGCCUUUGUGCUGUCGCUUAUGGAUGGACCCGCGGCGUAUUAGUUAGUUGGUGAGGUAACGGCUCACCAAGACGAUGAUACGUAGCCGACCUGAGAGGGUGAUCGGCCACAUUGGGGCUGAGACACGGCCCAAACUCCUACGGGAGGCAGCAGUAGGGAAUCUUCCGCAAUGGACGAAAGUCUGACGGAGCAACGCCGCGUGAGUGAAGAAAGGUUUUCGGAUCGUAAAACUCUGUUGUCAGAGAGGAACAAGUUGGAGAGUAACUGCUCCAGCCUUGACGGUAUCUGACCAGAAAGCCACGGCUAACUACGUGCCAGCAGCCGC